GGCCUUAUAGUGUAGUGGUAACGCGUCCUCCGAUAUUUCCGAAGUAAUACUCUUCAGAGGAAAUCCCUUGUUCGAAUCAGGGUGAGGCCA